AUAACUCCACCUCGAGCUGACGCAGUCAGCGCCCCUUGACCCUACCGAAGAUGCUCUCACAGGAGGAGCGUUAGUGCCCGUGCUGUCAGUCACGUUCUGCGACAUCUCGUUGGCGGUUAGGCUGGAAGUUGGCACCCCUCGUUCUCCAGUGGUGCCCGUUAGUCGUUCAUAGGCCCGUCUCCAAGGGCCGUCGAUCUCCAUUUCGUGGCCCGAUCCGCCAUAUUGGAACCACUUGUUCAUCCCUCAAAUACCAAGCCGUUUGAGAAAGGGCGCUAGGGUCGAUCACGAGUUGCGUUGAGGCGGGAGUUGGAGGUGUCCUGCAACGGUAGCGACUCCGGGGUCGAAGCGGCCUGCAUUCAAGGGCCGAGGGGAGCUAGCCAUGGCCUACGGUGGCGGUGAGAGCAGGGGCUGGAGGUCCUGGAACGAUGGUACAGGUCCGACAGCGGAGCGGCGCCCCGGAACUGGUCAGCUCGGGGGGCCCGCCGCGACCGGCGGUGGUGGGAUGGGUGUAGGCAGGGAGCGGAGGUCCUGGAGCGCCGGUGCCGCUCCGACGGCGGAGCCGGGCCCCAGGACCAGUGGGGGCAGGGGCCGCAUCGUGGCCAGUGGGGGCACGGGGCGGGGGUCCCGGCCCUAUGGGACGGAUCCCACAGCGGAGCCGGGAGCCGGGGCUGGUGGGGGCAGGGGACGGGGGUCCCGGGCCUAUGAGGUCGGCCCCACAGCGGAGCCGGGCCCCGGGACUGGUAGGGGCAGGGGGCGGGGGUCCCGGGCCUAUGGGCCCGGUCCCACUGCGGAGCCGCGCCCCGGGAGUGGCAGGGGUCGCACCAUGACCCGUGGAGGCACGGGGCGCCCUAUGGUCUGUGGGGGCGGCAGGGUGAGUGAGGAUAGGCGGCAUGGGUCCUGGGCCUAUGAGACCGGUCCGACAGCGGAGCCGGGUCCCGGGACUGGCAGGGGUAGGGGCCGCACCAUGGCCCGUGGGGGCACAGGGCGCCCUAUGAUCUGUGGGGGCGGCAGGGUGAGUGAGGAUAGGCGGCAGGGGUCCUGGGCCUAUGGAGCCGGUCCCAUAGCGGAGCCGCGCCCCGGGACUGGCAGGGGCCGCACCAUGGUCUGUGCGGACGGCAGGGAGAGUGAGGGUAGGCGGCAGGGGUUCCGGGCCUAUGGGGCCGGUCCCACAGCGGAGCCGCGCCCCGGGACUGGCAGGGGCCGCACCAUGGUCUGUGGGGACGGCAGGGAGAGUGAGGGUAGGCGGCAGUGGUCCCGGGCCUAUGAGACCGGUCCGACAGCGGAGCCGGGUCCCGGGACUGGUAGGGGCAGGGGCCGCACCAUGGCCUCUGGGGGCCGGGGUUGGGGGUCCUGGGCCUAUGGGGCCGGUCCCACAGCGGAGCCGGGUCCCGGCACUGAUAGGGGCAGGGGCCGUACCAUUGCCGCCGGGGGCCUGGGGUGGGGGUCCUGGGCCUAUGGGGCCGGUCCCACAGCGGAGCCGGGUCCAGGGACUGGUAGAGACAGGGGCCGCACCGUGGCCUGUGGGCUCUGGGUGAAUGUGGACAGGAAGCGGGCGUCCUGGGUUUACGGGACGGGUCCGACAGCGGAGCCGGGCCCAGGGACUAGAACGGGCAGGGGGUGCGCCGUGGCCUAUGGGGUCAGGGUGAAUGUGGACAGGGAGCGGGGGUCCUGGAACUCUGGUGCCGGUCGGUCAGCGGAACCGGGCCCCGGGACUGGUGAGAGCGGGGGGCGCCCCACGGCCGGCGGUGUCGGGGUGUGGGGGGGCGAGGGGGGGCGCAGGAGGCGGCCCAGGGCGCGACGGUCCCGGCCCCCCGCUGGUGUCGGUCGAACAGCGGAGCCGGGCCCCGGGAGUGGUGAGGGCGGGAGGCGUCCCGCGGCCGGCGGUGUCGGGGUGUUUAUGGGCAAGGGGAGGCGGCCGUGGACGACCGCGGGUGCCGGUCCGACAGCAGAGCCGCGCCCCGGGACCGGAGUCUGA
rnacentral:lncRNA from 1 species